AACGAGGAAGCCGGUGUGAAUCCGGCGCGGUCCCGCCACUGUGAUCGGCGAGCGGAUCCCGAACAGGCCACUGCCCGGCAGCGGGUGGGAAGGCCGGGAUGAGCAUGACCCGAGAGCCAGGAGACUC
rnacentral:ncRNA from 2 species